rnacentral:rRNA from 1 species
CAGUCGCCACGGGAAUACGUAGGGUGCGAGCGUUAAUCGGAAUUACUGGGCGUAAAGCGUGCGCAGGCGGUCAUAUAAGACAGAUGUGAAAUCCCCGGGCUCAACCUGGGACCUGCAUUUGUGACUGUAUAGCUAGAGUACGGUAGAGGGGGAUGGAAUUCCGCGUGUAGCAGUGAAAUGCGUAGAUAUGCGGAGGAACACCGAUGGCGAAGGCAAUCCCCUGGACCUGUACUGACGCUCAUGCACGAAAGCGUGGGGAGCGAACAGGAUUAGAUACCCGGGUAGUCCCUGUCUCUUAUAU